rnacentral:rRNA from 1 species
AACGCUAGCUACAGGCUUAACACAUGCAAGUCGAGGGGAAACGACAUCGAAAGCUUGCUUUUGAUGGGCGUCGACCGGCGCACGGGUGAGUAACGCGUAUCCAACCUGCCCACCACUUGGGGAUAACCUUGCGAAAGUAAGACUAAUACCCAAUGAUAUCUCUAGAAGACAUCUGAAAGAGAUUAAAGAUUUAUCGGUGAUGGAUGGGGAUGCGUCUGAUUAGCUUGUUGGCGGGGUAACGGCCCACCAAGGCAACGAUCAGUAGGGGUUCUGAGAGGAAGGUCCCCCACAUUGGAACUGAGACACGGUCCAAACUCCUACGGGAGGCAGCAGUGAGGAAUAUUGGUCAAUGGACGAGAGUCUGAACCAGCCAAGUAGCGUGCAGGAAGACGGCCCUAUGGGUUGUAAACUGCUUUUAUAAGGGAAUAAAGUGAGAGUCGUGACUCUUUUUGCAUGUACCUUAUGAAUAAGGACCGGCUAAUUCCGUGCCAGCAGCCGCGGUAAUACGGAAGGUCCGGGCGUUAUCCGGAUUUAUUGGGUUUAAAGGGAGCGUAGGCCGGAGAUUAAGCGUGUUGUGAAAUGUAGAUGCUCAACAUCUGAACUGCAGCGCGAACUGGUUUCCUUGAGUACGCACAAAGUGGGCGGAAUUCGUGGUGUAGCGGUGAAAUGCUUAGAUAUCACGAAGAACUCCGAUUG